GAAGGUAGGCUCAGAGGCAGAACAUCUGCUUUGCAUGCAGAAAGUCCCAGGUUCAGUCCUGGACAUCUUCA
rnacentral:tRNA from 1 species